rnacentral:tRNA from 1 species
AUUAAUAUAAUAUGAUGCUUUACAUGUAUAAUUGAAAAACUAAAAAAUUUAAGUAUCAAAUUUUGAUAUUUUAAAAAAUAUUAUAGGUUUUUUGAUUUUUAAAAAUAAAAAAUAUUUUAAUUCUUAAAUAUCUAUUUUUCCAAAUAUAUAAAUAAAAUAAUAUUUAAAAAAAUUAUAAAGUUAUUAAUAAUUAUUAUAAUUAUUAUAAAUA